rnacentral:ribozyme from 1 species
UGCCCAGCAACUCCUAUCCCUACCGCCGCGUAGCACAGGCCGGGAUGCCAGCAACCUUAGGGAAGAUCGGGUAACCAACCUCGGUGGGAAUUUUGGUAGUCGACUGAUAGAGAAGG